rnacentral:siRNA from 1 species
AUGCAAUAACUAGCAGUAUGGCCC